rnacentral:rRNA from 1 species
UAAUGCUCCAUAGUGGAUAUGUCCUGGAAUGGUAUAUCCUCGAAAGAUCCGUCGCCUUAGGAUGGGACUGCGUCCGAUUAGGUUGUGGCGGGGGUAACGGCCCACCAAGCCAUUGAUCGGUACGGGUUGUGGGAGCAAGAUCCCGGAGAUGGAUUCUGAGACAUGAAUCCAGGCCCUACGGGGCGCAGCAGGCGCGCAAACUUUACAAUGCGAGCAAUCGUGAUAAGGAAACCCUGAGUGCCUGUCGAUGCAGGCUGUUCAUAUAUCUAAAUCAUAUGUGAAGAAAGGGCAGGGCAAGACCGGUGCCAGCCGCCGCGGUAAUACCGGCUGCUCGAGUGAUGGCCACUAUUACUGGGUUUAAAGCGUCCGUAGCUUGACUGUUAGGUCUCUUGGGAAAUCUUCACGCUCAACGUGAAGGCGUCUAAGAGAUACCGGCAGUCUUGGAACUGGGAGAGGUAAACCGUACUUCGGGGGUAGGAGUGAAAUCUUGUAAUCCUCGAGGGACGACCUAUGGCGAAGGCAGUUUACCAGAACAGCUUCGACAGUGAGGGACGAAAGCUGGGGGAGCAAACGGGAUUAGAUACCCCGGUAGUCCCAGCCGUAAACAAUGUGCGUUAGGUGU